UACUUGGUUGAUCCUGCCAAGGAAGCACACUUAGGUCAUAGAUUAAGCCAUGCAAGUGUUAGUUCACGUAACGAAACUGCGAAUAGCUCAUUAAUACGCUCAGAAUCUAUUUGGCGGCGACCAACAGGUCUUAAAUGGAUAGCAGCAGCAACUCUGGUGCUAAUACAUGCGAUUGUUUCUCCAGAUGUGAAUUAUGGAGGAAAA
rnacentral:ncRNA from 1 species